CAGGUCUAACAGGGGAUAGAUACACACAACUUGGUCUAACAGGAGAUAGAUACACACAACUUUACCAAUGUAUGCAGAAAGGCAUUUAACAUUACAAAUGAUUAUAUAGCACAAUUGUGACCUUCAGGCAGCUGCGGUGGGAAGAAGGAUAAUUUCGACGUUGUCAUGAACACCCUGCAGCAGCAGUUCACCGUCGUAAGUAAGAACCUUUCUCUUUUUGGCCGCCCUCAACGUUCCGACCAGCGCUUCAAAUAUGUUUGCGCACCUGUCGUCAUGGAACAGUACACCGAACUUGACCUUGUAGGAACCAUCCUCCUGGCGUUGGCCCAGACGUUCUAUCUCCUCCUUGAGUCGCCCCACCUCUUCCUCCACGUUCAUCAU
rnacentral:misc_RNA from 1 species